CGAGCGGAUUGCUUUGAUUAUGUGAAAUCUGGAUUGCUUUGAUUAUGUGAAAUCUAGGUUGGUCUUAUGCUGUGAAAGUGCUUGUUCUUCAAUGAUUUCUGCUUCUGGGUAUUUUAUGAUGUAGUUGUACGGAUUUGAUUUCCCCUUUCUGGAUAUUUAUUAUCGGUUGUCGUUGUAUAUUUAUUUCGGUUCUCUUAUGCUGAAAAUUGGUGGACAUUUGGUCCCCUUAAAUUUCUUUCCUUUUCUGCAGCCAAAGGAGAGAACUUUGUGCAAUGGCUUGAUUCAGAAUUCUCAUCCGGUGAUGGUUAUGCAUUAUGAAAGUAAGCAUUUUGACCAGACAAGUAUCAAAAUAGCAUAGUUUUGAGUUUAUUUGUUUAGUGAGCUAUAUUGUAAAUUCCUUUACUUACAAUUGUAUGUAAACAUUGGGAUGAAUGAAUAUGGUAUUAUUCAUGGA